UUUAUCUCAGGCCUAUCUA
rnacentral:siRNA from 1 species